GGACAACACUCUGGAGAACAAUAUGAUUGUACCGAAGAAGUAAUCUGACCGGCAGCACAGCAACGUGUCAGAUAAUCUUUCAGGUAAAAGGACAGAGGCAGAUUU
rnacentral:ncRNA from 2 species